CUAGUCCUUGUCUAAGGGAGCAAAAUGUUCAAUGAUCGUAUAGUGAGAGCAUUGUUGCUAACACCCUAUAUACACUAAUGCAUCCUACAGUUAUUGUAGAAUGCAAUUUUUGUAACC